rnacentral:rRNA from 1 species
UGAGGAAUAUUGGUCAAUGGGCGGGAGCCUGAACCAGCCAAGCCGCGUGAAGGAAGAAGGCGCUAAGCGUCGUAAACAUCUUUUGUCGGGGAACAAAGGUCCGGACGUGUCCGGAUGAGAGUGUACCCGAAGAAAAAGCAUCGGCUAACUCCGUGCCAGCAGCCGCGGUAAUACGGAGGAUGCGAGCGUUAUCCGGAUUUAUUGGGUUUAAAGGGUGCGUAGGCGGUCUGUUAAGUCAGCGGUAAAAGCCCGGGGCUCAACCCGGCGAGCGUUGAAACUGGCGGACUAGAGAGGGCGAGAAGUACGCGGAAUGCGCAGUGUAGCGGUGAAAUGCAUAGAUAUUGCGCAGAACUCCGAUUGCGAAGGCAGCGUACCGGCGCCUUUCUGACGCUGAGGCACGAAAGCGUGGGUAUCGAACAGGAUUAGAUACC